UACGUAGGGUGCGAGCGUUGUCCGGAAUCAUUGGGCGUAAAGCGCGUGUAGGCGGUCCGGUAAGUCCGCUGUGAAAGUCGGGGGCUCAACCCUCGAAUGCCGGUGGAUACUGUCGGGCUAGAGUGCGGAAGAGGCGAGUGGAAUUCCUGGUGUAGCGGUGAAAUGCGCAGAUAUCAGGAGGAACACCAAUUGCGAAGGCAGCUCGCUGGGACGUUACUGACGCUGAGACGCGAAAGCGUGGGGAGCAAACAGG
rnacentral:rRNA from 1 species